GCUGAUCAGCCAGCCGCGUGAGUGAUGAAGGCCUUCGGGUUGUAAAGCUCUUUUGUCAGGGAAGAUAAUGACGGGUCCUGUACAAUAAGCCCCGGCCGACUCCUUGCCAACAGCCGCGGUAAUACUAAGGGCGAUAGCCUUGUUCAAAACUACUGGGCGUAGCGUGCACCUAAAUUACUGGGCUAAUCGCGUGUGAAAUCCCCUGGCUCAACCCCAGAUCUGCCCCUCAGACUCAACCUCUAAACUGCAUUAGAGACUGCUGGACUUCCGAGCGUAGAAGUGAAAUUCAAUUAUAUUUGUAGGAACACCAUUGGCGAAUGUGGGUAGCAGCACCGAUGCUGAAGCUGAUCUCCUGAACCUUGGCGAGCACACAGGAUUAAAUACCCUGGUAGUCCACGCCAUUAAAUACCCUGGCUAUCCGUGCCCUAAACUAUCUCUACUGGUUGUCGGCUAACUAUCUACUCAUCCGCCUCGCUGAUACGGGACGCUGACUGACUGUCGAAGAAUUCACAGGGUUGAAACUCAAA
rnacentral:rRNA from 1 species